rnacentral:rRNA from 1 species
AUUGAACGCUGGCGGCAUGCCUUACACAUGCAAGUCGAACGGCAGCACGGGAGCAAUCCUGGUGGCGAGUGGCGAACGGGUGAGUAAUAUAUCGGAACGUGCCCAGUCGUGGGGGAUAACGCAGCGAAAGCUGUGCUAAUACCGCAUACGAUCUACGGAUGAAAGCGGGGGAUCGCAAGACCUCGCGCGAUUGGAGCGGCCGAUAUCAGAUUAGCUAGUUGGUGAGGUAAAGGCCCACCAAGGCGACGAUCUGUAGCUGGUCUGAGAGGACGACCAGCCACACUGGAACUGAGACACGGGCCAGACUCCUACGGGAGGCAGCAGUGGGGAAUUUUGGACAAUGGGCGCAAGCCUGAUCCAGCAAUGCCGCGUGCAGGAUGAAGGCCUUCGGGUUGUAAACUGCUUUUGUACGGAGCGAAACGGUCUUUCCUAAUACGAGAGGCUAAUGACGGUACCGUAAGAAUAAGCACCGGCUAACUACGUGCCAGCCGCCGCAGUAA